ACCGUUCUCUUCUUCGCCUAACAAACGUUCUCUUCUUCGCCUAGCCCACCACCGUUCUCUUCUUCGCCUAGCCCACCGUUCUCUUCUUCGUACCCAUUCUUUUUUCCUAGCCCACCCAUUCUUCUGCGCCUCUCCCUACUUGAAAUCUUCCUUUAAGCAUCUCUACCAUCCCGACUGCAUUCUGCCCUGGCUCGCUCACCAUAACUCCUGCCCCGUUUGUCAGUUCCGGUUACGAGCAGAGCAAGCCAAGCUGGACUCUUUUGGGUCCCCGAAAGGUGUUUUGUGGUUAAGGGACUUGAUGAUGGGGGAUGAGGACUGGUAGCGGCGGCGUUCAGGGCUCAUUCCCUCUCAACCAGAUUGCAGAGGUGGAGACAGAGACGGAGACGGAAAGAGACUCUUCGUCUAGUGUUUCUUUCGUUCAGGGAUCGAGGCCAUGGAGAUGAUAUGGAAGAAGAUGGAAGAAGAAGAAGAAAAUGAGGAACAACGAAAGAAGGCACGAAGAGUCUCGGAAACAACAGGCUGAGACUGCACAUGAGGGUAAUGAGAGUGAUGAAGGGGAAUACGAAGAAGGGCCUGCUAAAAUUAUCUGGUUAGGAAAUGAGAUCAUUUUCAAGAAGAAAAGGAUCAGGGUCUCGAAGAAAAACAGUCCACUAAAUGACUUAAGUAGAAAAGAGGCUUAGUUUUUUGAUACAAAGCUGAGAUGAGUCACCUUAUUAAGUCAAUAAACCAUGGAUUAAUUGAAAUCUAGGACUUUUGGGGAAUUCGCAUACUAUCAUUACGAGUUUGGGGACUUGUCUUGAGGAUUGAAAAUCGUUCCAUGUUUUUGCCCAUUCAUUUCUGGCAAGUAGAUGGUAUGAAUGAUUCAUGGCAGUUCCUUCUACCUAAUUCGGUAGCUUCUUUUCUUUGGGAAGAUCUUGGUAGAAGACGUUUGUUGGAACUCCUCAUCGAUGGUGAUGACCAGUCUAAAUCUCAGAAGUUUGAUAUUGAUGAAAUUUCUGCCAAUCAACCCAUGCAUGUUACAAGUGGGACUUCUAGAGCUCUAAGCAUUACGAUAAUAAAAGAAGAGAAAGUCAAUGUUGUUAAGAUCAGUGACUGGUUGCCAGAGAGUGAACCUAUUGGAAUAUUGAGUAAAAUAGGCACAUCUCCUCUAUCACAACUUUCUUUAAAGAACCCACCUCAACAACAAUCACCGUCCACCUCAGACUCAGAAUUUCAUGUUAUUGUUGAAUUAGUUGAGCUUGGAGUAUCAAUCAUUGAUCACACACCUGAAGAAAUUUUGUACCUCUCUGUUCAGACUUUUAUUUUUUCAUAUUCAACUGGCUUGGGCUCUGGAAUUAGUAGUUCAAAUUAAGAAUGCAUGAGAUACAAGUGGAUAAUCAUCUGCCAUUAACUCCAAUGCUAGUUCUUUUCAGACCACAGAAAGUGGGGGAUGAGACGGAUUAUAUCUUGAAAUUUUCUGUGACCAUGCAAUCAAACGGGUCACUGGAUCUUUGUGUCUAUCCAUAUAUUGGUUUUUAUGGUCCUGAAAAUGCUGCCUUCCUGAUAAACAUUCAUGAACCUAUUAUAUGGCGCCUUCAUGAAAUGAUCCAGCAGGUCAACUUCAAUCGCUUAUAUGAUAACCAAACCUCUGCCGUUGCUGUUGAUCCAGUUAUCUAAAUAUGAGUUCUUAACAUCUCAGAAGUUCGGUUCAAGGUGUCAAUGGCUAUGUCACCCAGUCAACAACCAAGGGGUGUACUUGGCUUUUGGGCAUCAUUGAUGACUGCACUAGGAAACACUGAAAAUAUGCCAGUUAGAAUAAAUCAAAGGUUUCAUGAGAAUGUGUGCAUGAGGCAGAGUUCAAUGACAAAUAUUGCUAUUUCAAACAUACGGAAGGAUCUCCUUGGCCAACCUCUUCAAUUGCUUUCUGGUGUUGAUAUAUUGGGCAAGCAGUGCACUUGGACAUAUGAGUAAGGGUAUGGCUGCCUUAUCAAUGGAUAAGAAGUUCAUCCAAAGUCGGCAGAGACAGGAAAACAAGGGCAUAGAGGAUCUUGGUGAUGUUAUUAGAGAAGGAGGUGGUGCACUAGCAAAAGGCCUAUUCAGAGGAGUCACUGGAAUAUUAACAAAGCCUCUUGAAGGUGCAAAAACUUCUGGUGUUGAGGAUUUUGUUCAAGGUGUUGGA